UACAGAGGGUGCGAGCGUUAAUCGGAAUUACUGGGCGUAAAGCGUGCGUAGGCGGUUAUUUAAGUCGGGUGUGAAAGCCCCGGGCUCAACCUGGGAAUUGCAUUCGAGACUGAAUAGCUAGGGUGCGGUAGAGGGAAGUGGAAUUUCCGGUGUAGCGGUGAAAUGCGUAGAUAUCGGAAGGAACAUCAGUGGCGAAAGCGACUUCCUGGACCAGUACCGACGUUCAGGCACGAAAGCGUGGGGAGCAAACAGG
rnacentral:rRNA from 1 species